CGCUCCGGUUACCUAGUGGUUAGAGCGUCUGCCUCAGAUGCGGGAGGUCGUGGGUUCGAUUCCCAAUAGA